rnacentral:rRNA from 1 species
CCUACACAUGCAAGUCGAACGGAAUUUUACUGGGAGCUUGCCUCCGGUAAAAUUAGUGGCGGACGGGUGAGUAACGCGUGAGCAACCUACCUCGAAGAGGGGGAUAACGUUUGGAAACNAACGCUAAUACCGCAUAAUAUUACGGAACCGCAUGGUACUGUAAUCAAAGGAGAAAUCCGCUUUGAGAUGGGCUCGCGUCCGAUUAGGUAGUUGGUGGGGUAAAGGCUCACCAAGCCUACGAUCGGUAGCCGGACUGAGAGGUUGACCGGCCACAUUGGGACUGAGACACGGCCCAGACUCCUACGGGAGGCAGCAGUGGGGGAUAUUGCACAAUGGGGGAAACCCUGAUGCAGCAACGCCGCGUGAGGGAAGACGGUUUUCGGAUUGUAAACCUCUGUUAUUGGUGAAGAAACAAAUGACGGUAGCCAAAGAGAAAGCCACGGCUAACUACGUGCCAGCAGCCGCGGUAAUACGUAGGUGGCAAGCGUUGUCCGGAAUUACUGGGUGUAAAGGGAGCGCAGGCGGGAGAUCAAGUUGGAUGUGAAAACUAUGGGCUUAACCCAUAGCCUGCAUCCAAAACUGAUUUUCUUGAGUGAAGUAGAGGUAGGCGGAAUUCCUAGUGUAGCGGUGAAAUGCGUAGAUAUUAGGAGGAACACCAGUGGCGAAGGCGGCCUACUGGGCUUUAACUGACGCUGAGGCUCGAAAGUGUGGGGAGCAGACAGGAUUAGAUACCCUGGUAGUCCACACUGUAAACGAUGAUUACUAGGUGUGGGGGGACUGACCCCUUCCGUGCCGGAGUUAACACAAUAAGUAAUCCACCUGGGGAGUACGACCGCAAGGUUGAAACUCAAAGGAAUUGACGGGGGCCCCGCACAANCAGUGGAGUAUGUGNUUAAUUUCNAAGCAACCCCGAAAAACCUUACCGGGUCUNNACNUCCANCUANCNAANCAAANAUGCNUUAGNUGCCCUNCGGGGANAGUUGAAACAGGGGGUGCAUGGUUUUCCCCNCNCCGUCGGAAAGUUGGGU